AAGCACGCGCCCAACCUGACCUCCUCGGCCCCGCUCAGGGUGGACAACGGGCUCCAGCACGAGGCUUCGUGCAACAGGAGAGCGAUGAGGCUUCUUCACCACCAGUUAAUCCACAAAAGAAGCCACGGCUCUCAUGGCAGACAUGACUACAGACACUGCUAACAGUUUUCAGAAGAAAGCAUGUCUACAGCUACUGUGCCAGCAAGCAGAGCCCCUCCCUGAAGGAGCACCCUAACACCUGCAAACAUCACCCAGUCCAUGAACUUUUGGACUAUGAAUGCUACAGAGACAAACCCUCUGCUGAGAUCAGCCUCCUCCUUUGCCCUGUGACCACAGAGGCAGGUUUGGCGUGCUCUCUUCCAGGGCUCAUAGCCUUCAUUUUCAUCAUCUAUAAUAAAGAUCCCAAGAAACCCUGGCUGAGUGCA